GAAGCUGCUAUUGACUGGCAAGUUUAAAGUCACCACCCUCUGCCCCAACUUCCAGGACAGUGGGUACUGUGAGAAAGACUGGGUGGCUAAUAGAUAAUAAGGUACAUUCUCUUCACACGUAUGUGUAAAAAUAUUAAGCUAUAGAACAUCUAUAUAACAAAGGAAACAGUUGUGUAUUUUUAAAUAUCUCCUUUCUUCUAAAAAAGAUUUGAGGCAUUUAAAACCUAUAUAUUGUAAAAUAAACACUUAAGGGAAGAGCCAAAAAUUGAGUAAGUUUUAAUUAGUAGGCAUGAAGAAUGAAAUUAUGCAGACAUACUUAACAUAUGUGUUACGAGUUAUAGAAAGAUAGUAUGAGACGGGUGAUACCUUGCAUCUCCUCUAUUCAUGGAAUGUCACUAUGUUUGUGGAAGAAAUCAGAAAAGCAAAAACUGUGCUAGUCACACCUGUAUUGCCAGCACUUCCUAGACUUCUUAGAGCAUAGUGUAUGCUCCGUAAAUAUUUGCUGAAUGAAUAAAAGAAAAAAUACAGGAAGCAUUAGCAUCCAAAUGGAUAACAAGACAUUUAUUGAACUCUCAAGUCAUCGAUAGUGGGCCAAAUGAUGGAGUGGGGGGAGGGGUUCUGGUAUGGCAGGAAGUAGGGAGACCCUGCGAGACCUGCACGGAAAUGGGAAAAAAGAAGGGAGUGGGUGUGCGGACUUAGCUGUUCUUCUCACCCCAUCUCCCCCAAGCUGUGAGUUUGGUGCUGUUGUCUGUGUGUGUGUGUAAUUGUUUUCUUGGGCAGAGGUGCCUGCUGUAGUUUCAGGUGAGUGGAU
rnacentral:lncRNA from 1 species